UCCACGUCAAGUUCACAACGUCCUUCUGACAUCAAACCACAGGCCGUGAACACUGACUGCAUGUCUACUAUGGCCAGGACUCCAAGGGAGGCACCCUAGGGAACACAGAUGACCGCAGCACAGCGACAACCUCAAGGAGCACACACGGGGAAGGCAAGAUGAUACAAUCGAAGA